UGUGGUGAAGUUAGUUUCAGGUUGGAUAUAUUUUCCUGUAAAUACGGCGGUGAAGUUAGUUUUAGGUUGGAUAUAUUUUCCUGUAAAUACGGCGGUGAAGUUAGUUUCAGGUUAGAUAUAUUUUCCUGUAAAUACGGCGGUGAAGUUAGUUUCAGGUUGGAUGUAUUUUCCUGUAAAUACGGCGGUGAAGUUAGUUUCAGGUUGGAUAUAUUUUCCUGUAAAUACGGCGGUGAAGUUAGUUUUAGGUUGGAUAUAUUUUCCUGUAAAUACGGCAGUGAAGUUAGUUUUAGGUUGGAUGUAUUUUCCUGUAAAUACGGCGGUGAAGUUAGUUUCAGGUUGGAUAUAUUCUCCUGUAAAUACGGCGGUGAAGUUAGUUUUAGGUUGGAUAUAUUUUCCUGUAAAUACGGCGGUGAAGUUAGUUUCAGGUUGGAUAUAUAUUUUCCUGUAAAUACGGCGGUGAAGUUAGUUUCAGGUUGGAUAUCUGACGGACAUUCUCUGAGGAUCUACCGGUGUCUUCUCACUCUCCAUAACUGGGAAUAACAACAGCAGCGCGGUUAAAUCUAC